UGGAGCUCUGAACUCGGCGCUUCUCCUUCCGCAACAGAACUGGAACCCAACUCUGACGGACACAGCCAGCUGGCCCUGGCCGUUCCCAAGCCAAGGUGGCCCAACACUGUGCCCAGAGUGGUUGGUUUUAAACACCUACUUUAAACAGGACCCUUUGUGCAGGAGGUAGGAUAGUUCAUAUUCUGCCACAGGACAGAACCAUAGGCGGAUCUUUUUCUCUAAAUGAAGAUGUACUGAGCAGUGACUUCCAUGAUGAUACUGCACCCACCCCUGGGCCCCUAGGGGUUCUGGAUGGAAGAAACGAGCCCAUGGGAAGAAGGGGGUUGAAUGCAUAUCUUGAAUGGCAAGAGAUGGCACUCGGAGUCCACAUGUAGACUCUGUCACCUGAGUGCAGAAUCCUGGGCCCUGUGGGAACACCUGGCAGGAGCGGGCUGAGGACCUCCCUCAACUAAGAAAAGGACGAACCCUGGGACCAAGACCUCUCCUCAUCCUCCUGUUGAGGAGCAGCGCCGCCGGACCCUGGCGUUUUCCUCCGACUCCCCAGCAGCCCCUGCCUGCCUGGGCGGCUAGAACUCUUGCCCUGCUGCUGGGAUCGGGAGCCUGAGCCCCUUCAGCAUUGAGGGAUGAGACUCCAGACUUUUAGGGGUGGGAGCUAAGAAGGGUUGGGAGGCUGGGAUGCCUGGUGGAAUGGGGCACCAGCCUGAGCCUGAGUUAUGGGCACCAUGUGGGUGACACUGCCCUCUCAGCCAACACUGCCAACCCAACCCUGUCACCCGAGUGCCAGAGCCACCCUAGGUGGCUGGGACUAAAGGGCUUGUCUUGGGGAAGUCCCUCACCAAGACUUAUCCUGCACAGCCCCUCCAGGGUUAGGGCAGGAGACUACCAGGCGCUCACCCGCCCAUCCCCUCCAGCUCUGCCUGCAGACCUGUGGCCACCUCCCCCACUGCCACCCUCAAUGCAGCAUUCCUUCUCUGUUCCAGCCUCUGGAGGCUUCUGAGCCAGGCAAGGAUCAAUAUGACCCUGCCUGCUCCCAGGAAUACCCUGGACCACCUGGAGAGCCCUGUUCCCUAGACUGCCUGGACCGCUCUCUAACCCCAGAAGAAAGAGGGGUUAAUAAAGGGGACAUCCCACCUUGAGCUCAGGUGUACUACCAGUCACGGACAACAGAACUGGAAGAGGCCUGAGAGCUCAAGUUGUCCAC
rnacentral:lncRNA from 1 species